rnacentral:ncRNA from 2 species
UUGUAACAACGACGUGAUUUAGUACCAACUUGCAGCGUCGCAAAACAACUUGCUAAAAGGAGUCCAGGUAUGCAGUACA